GCUGCUCUGAAUGUGUCAUGUCCGACUUCCCCCCUGGGGGUUUGCAACGUUAGCGGCAGGUGAGUUCUUGCUAACAUGCUAUGGUUAGCAGUUUUAAUCUGUUUGUCAUUUAAAAGUAAUGUUGUGUUGGUUUUAGUGUGUUGUCUGUCGUGCUGGUGCCCUUGUGCUGUCCGUGGUGUAUGUGAUGGUGUACCCUCAGUUGGCUUAGGGUUUUCCUGCUGUUGGUUAACCUGUGCCUCAAAACAGUAAAUUGUCUGGGGCGAUGCCACUUUUCGGAAUCUCCCUUUCGUUCUAUGCCGUGUCUCCCCUUGCGCUGUGUCUUUGCUUCUCGCACUACGGUGUUGCACCGUUGUUAACAACGUCAUUAGCUGCACUGCUACACGCGGGACUGUACCUUGUCUGGUUCUGCUGAGCGGCUAGAAAUAACGCUCCACUUUUAAUGUGACCAUCACAGAGCCGUGGUUUGCUCUGUGUGAGAACGAGUACCUCUCCAGUGGCUGUUUUUAAUGCAUCAUCAUCAUUGUGUUUCUUUUUGUUUAUUUUCCCUUAUUGGUGACGAACGACCCCUGUGUCUGUGAAAAUUCGCUCAGAUGACCCAAUGAUGCUAGUAUAUAGGAUUGUUCAUUAUAGUUGGUUCCUGAGAACUGUGUUCUGCCUAUAAUUGACUCCUUUUUAAUGGUACAUGCUUAUAUUAUAUACUGGCUUCCUGUUACAUACAGGUGGUUUGGACUGGUAUAAUUAAUUUUAACUAAUUAUCAAAUUAUUUGUUUAUUUUCUUCUACUGUCUGUGGUGGACGUCGGCCUUGUGAAAUAAGGCUGAUCGUCACUAUUUUGUUUUGUGUGAAUAAAUUAUUUAUAUUAUUUUGGUUUGUUGCAGGAGCUGGGGUCCCACGGGUGAUGAAGCUUUUCCGGUGGUGGUGCUUUCUCCUCAGGGCGUGCUGUGUAACACUUGACGUGUGUGGUUGUGUAGUCUGAGUGCACAGUGGGGUGUGUGUGUGUGCCCUUUUGUAAACACGAGUCGUGAUAAAGUAAUUUCUCCUGUUGGGAACCUCAGCCCUGCUGGUUUGUAUGUUUUGUUUUGUUUUGUUUUGUUUCUAUUAAUUUCUCAUUUUGAGAUUUGAUUGUGGUGAUUGUGCAUUGAAGUGGAGUGAUUUUGUAUGUCUUGGGAGGGCUCAUUUUAAGGGAUUCUGUCUAAAUAAAAUCUAUUUUUGUACUAUA